UCCGAUGCUCAAGUCAGUUCUCUGCCUCAACAAGAAUGGAGCGCUCGAAUGGAGAAUUUAGCAGAGUUUUUAGAUGAAAGAUGAAAGCUUAUAGAAUAACGUAUCUGGGAUCCCCUUUUAUAGGCGGAGGGGGUAGUAGUCUGAUAGCGACAUCCGUAACCGUCUGGCAGUGAGCUGCCCAGGGUCAGGCGGAGUUUGCUGCG
rnacentral:lncRNA from 1 species